CGGUAGAGAGGUGCUUGCACCUCUUGAGAGCGGCGGACGGGUGAGUAAUGCCUAGGAAUCUGCCUGGUAGUGGGGGAUAACGCUCGGAAACGGACGCUAAUACCGCAUACGUCCUACGGGAGAAAGCAGGGGACCUUCGGGCCUUGCGCUAUCAGAUGAGCCUAGGUCGGAUUAGCUAGUUGGUGGGGUAAUGGCUCACCAAGGCGACGAUCCGUAACUGGUCUGAGAGGAUGAUCAGUCACACUGGAACUGAGACACGGUCCAGACUCCUACGGGAGGCAGCAGUGGGGAAUAUUGGACAAUGGGCGAAAGCCUGAUCCAGCCAUGCCGCGUGUGUGAAGAAGGUCUUCGGAUUGUAAAGCACUUUAAGUUGGGAGGAAGGGCAUUAACCUAAUACGUUAGUGUUUUGACGUUACCGACAGAAUAAGCACCGGCUAACUCUGUGCCAGCAGCCGCGGUAAUACAGAGGGUGCAAGCGUUAAUCGGAAUUACUGGGCGUAAAGCGCGCGUAGGUGGUUUGUUAAGUUGGAUGUGAAAGCCCCGGGCUCAACCUGGGAACUGCAUUCAAAACUGACAAGCUAGAGUAUGGUAGAGGGUGGUGGAAUUUCCUGUGUAGCGGUGAAAUGCGUA
rnacentral:rRNA from 1 species